AUGAGGUAUAUAUGACUCUGCCACCAGGAUUUACAUCUUCUCAUGAGCAUCAAGUAUGUCCUUUACGGAAAUCUUUAUAUGGACUAUGCUAGGCUUCCCAUAAUUGGUACUCCAAGUUUGUCAUUGCUUUGAUUCGUUAAGGUUUCAAGCAAUUUGAGGCGGAUCACUCUCUUUUUACCUUCUCGAGAGGUAGUACUUUCCUAGUUGUCCUCGUUUAUGUUGACGAUAUGAUUCUUGUGCUGGCAACGAGACUCAUCAAUGUCAGCAAUUUAAGAAGUAUCUUCAACUGUGGUUUCGAAUUAAGGGCUUGGAUCCGUUAUAGAUAUUUUCUCGGAAUUGAAGUCACUCGUCGCAAUUAUGGUUUAUUCUUGAGUGAGAGGAAAUACGCAAUUGACAUCCUCACCGAAUAUGGUAUGCUCGAGUGUCGCCCAGCCUAUUUUCCUAUGGAGUAGCAGCAUCAUCUCUAUCAGGAGGCUGGAUCUCAAUUAUCUGAUCCAAGACGCUAUCCACUUCUCAUUGGAAGACAUAUAUUUGACUCUAACACGUCCUGAUUUAUGCUACUCCUUUCACAUUUUAUCUCAGUUUAUGUGCGACCCCGCUAAGGACAAUGGGAUGCGACCGUACGAGUUCUUCGAUAUUUCAAGCAAUAAUAACAACCCCUGUGGUUGAAAAAAUUGUUCACGCAGCUUGGGCUAAAACUGUAUCGAUCAAAGAACUUUGCCCUCACGAAAGAAGGCAGCCUCAGCAAUAGCAAGCUCUUCUAUGUCGAUACGUCAGCAAUGAGCAAGGGUGCUCAAGUUGAACUGAUGGGCCCAGCCAUAUCGGGUGCCGAGCUCUUGACAAUGGUCAAGCGUAUGGCUCAGUUGGAAGUGAGGAUGGUGUCCCUUAGCAAGAAAGAGGCGGGUAUACCUACCGAUAAGGAGCAGAUACUGUCUUCUGCAAUGAGCCAAAUGGAAGCUCUGGAGCAGAGGCUCAAAAGGCACUCAAGAAUUCCAUGGCUCGGCAAAAGGAGCUCAUAGCAUACCUCGAGAAGAAGAAAAAGAAGAAGGGUUCGCUGUGUUUUGGAUUAUGCAGAGGACCCCGUUCAAGUAAGGCGGCGUAGAACCUGGGGGAACUCCCACUCAACUAGCCCAUCACCAUGUUCGUGUUAGAAAUAACCGAAAUUCUCUGCAACAGUGGUGAUCAUCCCCAUAACCCAUGCCUGAUAUGUUCGAUAACUUUCGUCAUCUCCAUGUAUGCUGACAUUGAUUGUCAUGUAAGUGAGUCCGAGAGAUGCUCUAAUGAGAUGCUGCUCCGUGUGAGCUUUCCAAUGGUGAAACUCCAUGGAGGAGAGAAGACUACAGUCUUUCUAGAACUGUGGGGCAAGAUUAUAAUAGCUGUAGCUUGGUUUUGCUUGAGAGGUCUGGUUUAACUCUAAUUUCUGUAUUUAUGAAAUGAAGCGGGAAUCAAUGAAAUCUUGUACUCUGAGACGGGUUUUGAAUCUUGA